rnacentral:lncRNA from 1 species
GCCCUGUCGAGUUAUUUAUAUUUAUUGUUUUCUAGUCACAAAAGCUCCAAUUAUCUCCUUGUGCAUGUUAGAAAGUAAGAGUAAACCAGAUUUACUAUAAUACAUAAUGUAACGUAAGCAACUUUGAGUGUCAAAAUAAACGUAAGUCUUGAAUUUGACAAAUUGGUUAUCAAUUGAGAAUGCAAAUGUUAUACAUUCUUUACUGGUACUUCUUCUGACACCUUGAUA